UCACUCCACCACCCCACAAUCCACUCCUUUUGCUGUCACACCCAUACCAAACUUCUCAUACAUGCUUUCAUUACUUUCUCCAUUCCAUCCUGAAACACCCCAUUCACCUCUUAUAUAACUCAUUUCUACUCCACAUAUUCUCGAUUGCUGUGCUGCAUUCCAUGUCCACGUCUCUGAUGCAUAUUACAGAGUUGGCAGGAUAGGUACACAAAUUAACUGUAUAUUAGUAUAGCAACACAACACAGCAUUUUACAUUUCAUCUGUGGGUUCAGUGUGGGUAAGGCUAUGAUAUUAGCUUUCCAUUGUUUCCAGAGUUUAUGAUAGAUAACUAUGCUGCCCAUGACACCUCCAGUAAGGUGUAUUUGAUUCAACAUUAUACGUACUGAGCACUGUACAGACUUACAUUAUUGUAGAAGUAUCUACCCAUGAACCUUCAUGGCAGUGAACUAUUUAGAUAUCCUACAAGGAAACUUUGGACUGCUACAAGGAGAAAGAGGCUCUAAAGUAUGAGAAAUGGUAUGAGGAAGCCAGGAAGGUUAUCUUUUCCUAGCUAGAGUACAGUGUUUGGGUAGUAGUAGUCGGUCGGGAGUUUUGCCUUUGUAACGGCACUCCCUGAUGUGUCUACUGUCUGGGUCUAUUGUUUUCCUUUUUCUUUCAUUCUUUUUUCUCUUAUUGUGAAUGCAAGGAACUACGGUUGGUCUGAGUCUCGGCAAAAUGUGUCAGAUGUGUGACAAGGGUGUGAAUGAGACUGACUUGUGGUAGAAUGUGGAAAACAAAAAUGAUGCAGGUGUUUUUGACUAAGAUGGGAUGUGAAAUGAAUGUUUGUUUAGUGUACUGGAAGAGAGUGGAUGGUGCUGCCACUAGGGGUCAGUGGGAAGACAUAUGGAUGAGUAACUGAAGCAGUGAAAAAGUUCUUGUAAAGAAUGUGGCAUGCAAGAAUAGCAUCUUUUUACAUGAAGAGUAAUUCCUGUUCUGCAUGUUACCUCCCUUGUUGUGCUUUCCUUCCUACCAUUGUAUCUUUUUAAUUUCAUGGUGCUACCUACACAUGUAUUAAUAGUUGUAUAAUCACACUCUGUCCUGCCUGGGGGUUGGGAUGGCAUGUUCCUCCCUUCUCCCUUGUUGUUUACCUGCAACAAUAAACUAUCAAUCAAUCAGUUUUCCUUUUUUCAGGAGGUGCUGUUACAAGGACUUGGCCUGUGAGAAAUCUCAAGUCACCUGUGACAUCAAGAUUUGGAUGCCAACUGCCAAACUAGCCCCAUAAAACACCCACGAAGAAGAAGACAAAGGAGCUUCUCUCCCCUAAAAGCAGUGUCACAAGGGAGGAACAGCAUAACUGCAUUCAGCUUCUCACCAGCUGGUUCAGUAUAUUUGCUUUUAUGAAUACAUGGAUGUAACAUGAAAGAUGCAACUUUCUUUAAAAGUUUGAAAUACAGGCUUUAUCAAGAACUUGUUAUAGUUCUAGUAUUUGAUAUUAGCUCUAAUUCAUUUUGUUCAUUUUCCUUUUAAAGAAAUAUCUGCAACCUUUAGAGAACACAUCCAACCUUAAUGUAGGUUUCAAUGACUUUUGAGUUUCAAACCACUUUUUAUAAGUUCAGUACUAAAGAAUAUUGUGUUAUAUGUAUACUCAUGCCUGUUUUCUUGUUGCAUCUUGUCCCUUUUUAUGGACUUGGAAGCUAAUCAUCUGGAUAUCACAAGUUUUAAUGGUUGUCUGUAACGAUAUUUAUCACCCACAAAUUUCCAUUUCCUUUUUGAAAAAGUGUGUGUGUGUGUGUGUGUGUGUGUGUGUGUGUGUGUGUGUGUGUGUGUGGGCAUUUUAGUAUGUUAUAUGUGCACAUUUUUUGUUCAAGUAAAUUGACUUUGAGGUGAGUGACAGGCAGGCCAUGCAGGCUCUGUGAAGGUUUUAACACUACCUACCAUUGAUAAAGUCUCUUAAAGAUACAUACAGUAUUAACAUGAAAACUACAAUACAUUCAAGAUAUCUCACUACUAAUUUAAAUAUUGUAUUUACAGAUACAAUGUACAAUAGAUAUAAGCUGCCACUUAGUACCUUUAUGACUACGAAGAGAAGUAAUUACACUUAAGAUUCACCACACAUUGUACUGUACAAUAUUUUUUAAAGACCCCAUAAUAUCCAAAGGAAAAUAUUUUGAUCUUAACUUUAUGUGGAUAAUCUUUCGUCAUUGCACAUAACAUCACUGUCAGUUUUUUGAGUGCAUGUUGCUCAUGUUUAGUGUUCAGGCUUGCACUAGUCACGGGUUCUUUUGCUUUCAGUCUAAUAUUUUUUGUUCAGUAUGUACAUAUUG